ACUAAUUACACCACAAAUACUACCACUUGAUUUUAGGAAUUAGUGUGAUAACACAAUGCUGUGGAGCUCACGCUCUUGGAGCUGGCCAGUCUGGCACCAAGGCCACCAGGGCCAGUGUUUGCUCACUGUGAGGCUCUGCACUGUCCUGGAAGUCUUGGAUUCUUACCUGGAAGGGCUGGGCACACCUUUCACAACUAGGUGCUGUUGGCACCGAUGUGGGAACAUUGAGGAGGCCAGGAAGACAAAGUCAGAAAUACAAUUCUAUGGCAGUGUGGUGACUUCACAUGCCCCUCCUAACAGCCAUCUCCCGCCUGCAGCCAACUAGGAGCUCUGCUGAGGUGUUCUGACAUGGGAUGCUUUCCCCUGACCUGGUUCUCAGAGAUUGGAUGGUGUUUUUUCUUGUGUUCUCGUGUUCUCGGGAGGCAAGCAUGUUCCUGGUCACUCAAAAUACCUGCAAGGCAAAUGAGCCUUUCCUCUAUGAUACACAUCUCUCCAGGGCACCUCAGCCUGAGUGACCCGUGACUGUCACCUUUCACAUCUGAGCAUGCACACUGGGCCCCAGGGAGACAGGCUUCUUGUCACCCCCAGGCUGUGACUGAAGCUGGUGUCAGGCUUCUCUCAGUAGCCCUCCUCAUUGCUACCACUUGCAGAAAGGUCUUCCUUAUCCCCAGACAAGGUCUUUGGUGGCCUGUACUUUGAGAACUUUGCCUUCCUUACCACAGAAGCCAUUUGACACCGUGCUCGAAUGCUGCCACACAGGAACCCCUGUCUCAGGCACCCACUCCGCCUGCACUUGGCGUCACCCAAGCACCUCCGCUCCAGCUUCGUUUGGCACCGACUCCCUGCUAAGCGCCUGUGCUGAUUGCGAGCAGCUCAGCUCAUGCUGUCUGGCCCUUGACCUUCUUUGGUGUUCUCAGUCCUGUGCAGAGCCAGUUCUGUGCCUGACCUACUCUGGGGCCUGGAGAGGGCCUCAGCAGACUGCUGCUGGGUUUCUGAGAAGCGUGAGCAUGAACCUGGGUGAGCCACAAGUCCUCCUUCCUGGUGACUCCUUCCUAUCAUCUCUCCUCAGGCCUCUAACUCCACAUGGUGAGCAUACAGCUUGCUGUUUCCCAAGGAAGUGAGAACCCACAGAAGAGCCCUUCCACCAUUCUGGACCUCUGGGCGUCUCCCUCACUGGCACUGUAGAACACUAAUUUCUGGUCUUGCUCCAUUAUAGGUUCCCAGCAAGCUCAUAUCAACCCUCCAGUACAAUAGGCUUAGGGAAAUGCUGUUCUUUCCUGAGAAACAAGCACAACUUGUUUCGUGGAUCUUACUUGCUGUAGCCUCAUGUCACCCAGAGGCUGCCACUGCUCCAACUCUCUUUCCAGGGCCCUUCUUCAGGAGACAUGUCCAUGUGGCCACUCCAACCAGACGCUACUUCCAGAAGAUAAGAUGGUAUUCAGGACACUAUGGACUGCAAGCUUCUCUGGCCAUUUUGCAAUUCCAUUUCUCCCUGCUCUAGGACAUUGAGGUGACCCUCUUUGGGCAAUGGCGGAGAGCACUGGUCUGUGCAACAUGUGCUGCCCUGUAUUUAUCUCUCUGAAGUCUGAUUCCCCAGCCUUCCAUGCAGAGCUGUGUGGCACCUAGCAGAAGGCAGGCGUGUACACCUGGCUUCCCCUGAGGCUGUCUUCCCGCCGUUCCCACAUCAGCUGUCACACCAAGGGGCUCAGCCGGCUCUGUUAGCUCUUCCACCAGGAUGCGUCCUAAGGUGGGCAGCACCCUGCUUCUCUCCCCAGCCACAGUCUAGGAGCUGUGCUUGUCACUGUGGCCCUCAUCUGGAGCGCAGCACGGGACUCUUCUGGAAACCCCACCCCAGUGCAGAAGAAAGUGCAUCCCACUGCAGGGGCCCGAGUCCUGCAGGAGCCUGAGGGGUUCAGACGGAGGCCUUGAAUCUCCUGGAGCUGAACUGCCUGACAUGAAUUCUGGGAAGUGAAUUUAGGUCUUCCAGAAGAGCAGUAUGCACUCUUAACCACUGAGCUACUCAUUUUUGUUGCAGGCGCCUGCAAUGAGGCAUCCGCUGCUUCUGGUGCUUUUCAGCGACUGGACUAGGUUUCUCCUCGUCCUUUCCCUCCUGACCAUGAAAUGUUUAUUUAGCUAUGUUCUUACAACUUCUUCAAAUCUAUUUGCCAAGGUAUUUGUUCUCUAACAGCACUAAACCUAUUUAGAGUUUUCUUCAAAAUGUGGACAAAAUUAUUUGGAGCUUUGGAAACCGUGCAUAAUCUCUGUCUUAGUUUUUUUCCCUGUUACCAUGAGAAAACACAGACAUAAACAACUCAAGAGGGUUCACUUUAGUUCAAGGCCACAGGAGCUUGAAGUAGCUCAAGCAGCUGGUUGUCACAUCCACAAUCACAAACAGAGGAUCGGAUGCAUGCUGCCGCUCCAUCCCCCUUUUCGCUCCAAAAGUUCAGGAUCCCAGCAGGGGAAGGUGAUAUUCACAGAGUGGGGGGGCGUCCCACCUUAAUUAAUGAGAUUAAUAGAAUCUCCUGUAGGUAUGCCCAGAAGGCUCAGAGGAUGGGCCCAAUUGUGCGAAGAAUGAUUUUAAACAUUUGGUUCUCUUGUUUCUGUUUCUCAGAUUCUUAAAUUGCAGGCCCGUGCUGCCACAUCCAGGCGCCUCCACACCCAUGUUAUGAUUGCUGGGUGCUGAUUCAGGGCUUCACGCAUGCGGGGGAAGCCCCAGGGCUUCAUGCAUGUCAGGUAAGCGCCUUAGCAACCGAGCAGAACCCCAGCUCUUUGCAAGGUUCUUUAAAAUCUUGCGAGAAGACAGGUUCUUCCCAGGAGUUGUUCUUCUCUGGAAGACAACUGAGAAUCACUUCUAAUGUUAUAUUCCUUCUCUGAGCAUUUUUAACCUGGUGUCAGUGAAUGUGAAUUUACCCUGAGUUCUGUUUGGCCUCUGGCAGAGGGAUGUGCAACCCUGAGCUGCCCCUUAUGUUUACGAUGUGUUCCCCACAGCGUGUCACAGUUCUUGAAAUACACCCUCUUGGAAGGAGAAAAGUUCAUGAAACUUACAAGACCCUCUUGCAUGGGAUCUGGCUCCAGCCAGUAUCAGACAGCUCUCUGAGUCCCACUGCACCCGGUGUCAGACAGUUCUCUGAGCCCCACUGCCCCUGGUGUCAUUCUCUGAGCCCCUCUGUCUCCGGUGUCAGCAUUUUAUCGCGGCAGCCUCUGUUUACCUCCUAGCUCACUAAUUCACAAGAGAUUGAAAUUCACCCCAAAUUUAGAAAAUUUCUUCUUAAAGGAUCUUCCAAGAUUUCUAGCAUGCACUGGCAACCUGGGCUAUUUGUUU